UAGCAGCACGUAAAUACUGGAGU
rnacentral:ncRNA from 5 species